rnacentral:rRNA from 1 species
GACGGAGGAUGCAAGUGUUAUCCGGAAUCACUGGGCGUAAAGAGCUCGUAGGUGGUUUGUCGCGUUGUUCGUGAAAACUCACAGCUCAACUGUGGGCGUGCGGGCGAUACGGGCAGACUGGAGUACUGCAGGGGAGACUGGAAUUCCUGGUGUAGCGGUGGAAUGCGCAGAUAUCAGGAGGAACACCGGUGGCGAAGGCGGGUCUCUGGGCAGUAACUGACGCUGAGGAGCGAAAGCGUGGGGAGCGAACAGG